UCGUGGGAAAUCGUAGCUCGAAAAGAAGAAGAAGAAUGAACUACUUUUCCAAGUAAUUAGUUGCAUUUGAUGAUCGUGAUGGAGGCAGAGAGUGCUGCUGAUCGCGAUCCAGAUCCGGGUCAAGAAUCACCUCCUGAUCCUAAGGAAACCUCAGCUGACGUAGAUCUACGUUCUCUUCGCGUGAACGCUCAGUCUGUAUUGGCUUGGGCCACAGAGCGUUCCGAAUCCCAGCCGCUAAAGACCCACAGAAGGCAAGAAGCUUGCGUUGCAUAGCUGCUGUCCCGCCUGACUGCAUAGAAAGAAGACUCGUUUAUGGUUGUUCUACAGCCGCUGCUGACGUCCAUCAGCUCUGUCCUGCUCCCAGCUGCAGAUAGGCCUGGAUUUCAAUGAGUCGUGUCCCAACUCCGGUGUGAACGAUUUCCCGACGUCAAUACGAAGUGGGGUCAAGUCAUGGGUGUUGCAAGGAAGCUGUCACAAGAUGAUCCGGUAUUGAACGGCUACAGCACAACCAAGAGAACGAAAUGUACGUCGCAAUCAAGCUAUGUCGUUGCCAUCUUCUAUGUGCCAUGCGUUACCUGAUGUGCCAGCCUGCU